GUAGUGUUGGUGUAAAAGGCAAACCCGUGUCAUGAGGGAUGGUCAUCAUCUUGUGUGAUCCUUGGAGAUGGCAGGAAGCCCUGGACAUACAUGGUGUGGGGGCUCCUCCAGAGGCUGUUGGGAUCCUCCUGGAUGUGGUGUGGGCAUGGAAGGAAGGCCAGUGGAGACAAUGGAUGAUCUUGUUCUUAGCAGAUCACUGGAUGUGGCAGGGAGUCCUAGGACAUGUGUGGUGUGGGCUUCUUCAGGUGCUGGUGGUGUUGGCAUGAGGAAAGGAGGUAUCUUCGAGGGACAAUCUUCUUCUUGUGCGAUCCUUGGAGAUGCCAUGAGGCCCCUGGACACAUGUGGUGUGGGCUCCUUUGGAGGCUGUUGUAUCCCUUCUGAAUGUGGCGUGGGCAUAGAAGGAAGGCCAGUGGCCACGAGGGACAAUCUUGGUCUUGGGAGAUCCUGGAAAUGAUAGGGAGUCCCUUGAUAUGUGUGGCAUGGGCUCCUUCAGGUGCUAGUGGAUUCCUUAGGAUGGUGGUGUUGGCAUGAAAGGCAGGCUUGUAUCAUGAGGAAUGAUUGUCAUCUUGUCUGAUUCUUGGAGAUGGCAGGAAGCCCCUGGAAACACAUGGUGUGGACUCUUUCACAGGCUGUUGAAACCCUCCUGAAUGUGAGGCCAGAGACAGGCAGACAGCAGAUGUAUUGCAGGGAGCUGGAUGACAUGGCCCUUGGAACCUGUGCACAUGCCUGCCUUUCUGAUGCACGUCCAUGUUUUCUCUGCACCUCCCCGGUGGUGUUGGUAUAAAAAGCAGGCUUACAUCAGCAAGGGAUGAUUGUCGUCUCAUGCGAUCCUGGGAGAUGGCAGAAGUCCCGGGACACAUGGAGUGUGGGCUCUUUCGGAGGCUGUUGGAUCCCUCCUGAAUGUGUUGUGGCCAUGGAAGUAAGGCCAGUGGCUACGAGGGACAGUCUUCAUCUUGGGAGAUCCCUAGAGAGGGCAGGGAGCCCCUUGACAUGUGGAAUGUGAUCUCUGUUGGGUGCUGGUGGAUCCCACAGGUGGUCUGGCAUGGAAGAAGGCCAGAGGCUGCGAUGGAUCAUCUUUGUCUUGGGAGAUUCCUGGAGAUGGUGGGGAGCCCCUGGGCACGUGCAGCAUAUGUGGCGUGGGCUUCUUCAGGUGCUGGUGGAUCCCUCAGGAUGUUCAUUGUGGAACCAGCACAGAUUUUCAUACGAAAGUUAUUUCUUUUUAACCUCAAAAAGUGACAGAAUGGAGUGUAUCAUGAAAAAGUCUGACAUCAAAACCUCAAAAUGUGAUAUUGAUUGGGUGAGAUAGAAUUCCAUGGAAUUUCAUUGCCAAACCAGUGAAGUGCUAAUUUUGACAUUUGUACCAGCUAACGUAGCUGUGAAGAAACACACCAAUACACUUCUAAGGACAGCAUAGACCAAGAUCUAGGUUUCAUAUGGAUGAAUUUAUUCUUCCCUUUGAGGCAAGACAAGAAGGAAAGAAAGUAUUGGGAAUAAUGCUGCCCUCCCAUCCUCAAGGGCCAGUGGGAACUCUAAUAUUGAUUGGUUUUCACAGAAUUCCAUGGACUUUAACUGCUGAACCAAUGAUGCACUGAUUUUGUCACUUGUACCAGCUAACGCAUCUGGGAGGCAACAAAACAAUACUCUCCUGAGGUAACAUCGAAUUUUUAGUAAAUUCAUUUUUGUGUGUUGUUUUUAUUAUUUUUUUAAGUAAUUGAGAAUUUCAUUAGGUGUGCAAGGAGUCACUUAAUACAAAUAGUAUUAGGCAUUCAAUACUCUCAUGAGAUAUCUGAGCCUUCAGUUUCUUUUAUUUUAACAUUUUACAUUUUUCUCAACUUUAACAUCAGAAACAUCCUAUAAGUGUAAUAAAAUUCUUAUACUUUACAUAUAGUUACAUAGUAAAUCCUCCUGUCUUAUUUAAGUUUGAAAAAUGAACAUGUAUACUUCUCAUUCCCAUGUAUAUAAUCUCUUCCCACAGAAUGAGGUGGACCAAGAAACUGGGCUUCAUACGGAUGAAUUUAUUUUUUUCCCUGUGUGGAGACAUAAAGGAAAAGUAUAGUGAAUAAUUCCGCCUCCCACCCACAAGUCCCCAUGGGAAUUCUCACAUGUUAAAAAGCAUUUUGUCCUGAAAAUAACAACAAUUUUUCUUAGGGAAUCAGGACACUCCAAUGACAGUGAGACUCUGGCUAUGCCAGGCAGCCAUGGGCUGGUCAUUGUGCUGCUGGUCUCCAUGAUUGAAUAGUGUGGGUCAUUGGUGACAGAUAGCUAUGUGCUCAGUGUCUGCCACAUAUCUCAGGUUCAAAGUCCCUUUUAUAAAUGUGCCUGGAUGGAUGACGACUUAAAAAUGAAUCUCGUUGGAAUCUGAGCAAAACGAGUGAGCAAACCACUUCUGUGCAGUUCUGUGAACUGAGGUCAAGCACAGGGACCAUGCCAGGCAAACACGUGCAGAGAGUUCAGUUUGGUCAGCAACUGGUACCAAAAUGGCCUGUGGUAUUGGAAAACAAACCCACUCACAUAGCUUACAGCACAUGAAUUGUACAGAGGUCUGUAUGUGUUUGUAUAUAUUUAUAUAUGUUUGUGUACAUAUAUCUUUGGGGAUUAUAUGGCAUUUCUUUCAGUGUUUGGCUGGCAGUGUCCAUACUCUCAUAGUAAACAGAAUUACACAAGAGUAGAGGGAACAGUAGGAAAUGGUUUUGCCUACCCUAGAGUCUUUUAUACAUGUUUUUAGGUGCUAUAAUCUUGUGUGUGAGGUCAGUCUCUCAGGUUCAUUAGAUGGACAGUGUAAAAGGUAUUAUGAGGUUUUACAUAUUAUUUAUCUAUUAAGUAAAAGAAAUAUAUGGAAAUUGAAGAGUAGCUUUUAUCUAUUAAAGAAAAGAAUGUAUGGAAAUUGAAGGGUACUUUCUAUUUGUGGAAAGUCUUAACAUUUUAAUUUCCUUAUUGAUCUUGUCACAGAAGUUGGAAUUUAAGUUUUGCCUGUCACUCAAAGAGAAGCUUUUUAGACAUUUGAUUAAGGGAUUCUAGUAGAUGCUAUAGUAAACAUUUCUAAUUGUAAAAUGAUUAAAUUUGCAAUUCAUAGAGUUUUAUGUGGAUUUCAUUGCCUGAUAUUCAUUAUUUUUAUUAGUGGGUUUCAUAGAUGUUUAAAGGGAGAUCCUAGUUUUAUUGUGUGAUACUAAGGGAGGCCUUUUGGUCUUAGAAAACUGACUUUCAGUACUACCCAUUUCCAGGGAGUGAGCAUAAUUUUUAUUCUCAUACCACAUGGGCAAGUGAAUAUCUAUGGUUUAUUUCUUAUAACUCGUCAUUAGUAAUUAUGAAAGUAAGAAAGUUGACAAAUGAAACUCUUUUAAUUAUGAGGGUUUCAUUUGUCGACUUCCUACUUCCUCAGUGUGCUUUGUGUAUUGGAGGUAAUACUGGAAUUGCAUGGAAUUCCUACUGCUGCUCCAGUAACCUGCUGAUUUUGUCACGUGUACCAGAUUCGUUGUCUGGCAAUGAGAACAAUACACUUCAGAGGUAAUAUUGCAAUUUUUAGUAAGUGCAUUUUUCCUGGGUUCGUUCUAUUAUUUUAUUUUAGCAAGUAAGAUUAUAAUUGGUUUUUCAAGCAGUCUGUUAAUCCAAAUGGUGUGAGGCCCUAAUAAUCUGGUUAGUCAUCUGAAGUUUCUGUGUUCUUUGUACAGUAUUUUUAUACUUCCUCUGUUUUCAAAUAACAUUAGGAUACCCUACUAGCAAAAUAAUUUAGUAUAUUUUAUAUACUUGUGCAUAGUAAGCCUGUUGUAUAUGUACACUAUUUGCAUGGUUGGCAAAUUACAUUUGCACUUUUUAUUUUUCUAUAAUUUUUUCCUAUUUUCAAAGGUUAAUGUGGACCAAAAACUAGAUUUCAUAUAAAAGAGUUUAUUCCUUCUACUUGAGGUGUGACAUGAAGGAAAGUAAUGGAAAUAAUUCUGCCCUCCCAUUCUCAAGGGCCAGGGGGAAUUCAAAUAUUGAACGGAAGUGAUUUUGGAAUUGCAUGGAAUUCUCACUGCCAUCCCAAAGAAAUGCUGAUCUUGUCACUCUUACCUGUUUCAUUCCCUGGGGGCAGAACAAAAGGACGCACUCCAAAGAUCGGCAUGAACCAAGAACUGGGUUUCAUAUAAAAUAUUUUAUUCUGUCCUCUUGAGAUGUGACAUGAGAAAAGUAUUGAGAAUACUUCUAUCACCUCAUCUUCAAGAAUCCGUAGGAAUUCUCCCAUGGUGGACUUUACGGUUAACCUGAACAGGUCUUGGAAAAAGGACUUUAAACAUUCUCCUGUUCUGUGGAAUAAGUAUACUUUUUUCUGGACAUACACCUUGUCAGUGAGUAUGUAUCAUAAUUCCUCAUAACUUCUUAUCAGGAAACAUUCGAUGUAGAAGAUUUCUUUCUCAACUUCUCUAAUUGCCCCUGUGGUUUGCAGGUUCCAUGUGAUACUAGAGUUGCAUAGAUUUUUAACCUUUACGCCAAUGAAGAUCUGAGGCAAACAUUGCCCCUUUUUUAGAAGUUUGCAUUUGUCACUGAUAACUGUAAUAAUUGAUCUUGUUGAAAAGCCUGGGAAAUGAAGAUCUGAUAUGUCACUUUUACCGGCUUCCUCAACUGAAAAAGAAUACAAUGAAACACGCUGAGAAUUUUUGUGCUUUCUCAGUCUUGCUGAUGAUCUUUCUAUGGGCCUGAAGCGUGGAGAGUGCCAGAGAGGCUGAUCCUCAGCAGUGUGGCAGAGGAAAGUUGGGUGCGACUAAGGGGUAUGCGGUGCCCACAUGCCACUGGGUCCUCAGCAGUACCACCUGGUGAGCGUCACUCUUGAGAGCUGAGAGUAGGUGGGAAGCAGCUCAUGGUGAGAGGGUUCAGAGGCCGCCUUUCCCUCUCUGCGCACUGCCCAGUUCUUCUAGUCACAUGUCCCGGGACAGUACCAUACCUGUGUGUGUCCUGCCUGCAUUGCUGUGACCACUUUUAGUGGAAUCAGGUGCAGUGCAGCUCUGCAGCUUCUGCAAAUUGCCACGCUCCCACUCUCAAGCAGGUUGAGUGCUACGAGUGAUUUUUAGACCAUUUGUUUAUUCCCUUAUCAUGGCUUUUUGUGACUUCUUCCUCCCCAGUCCGUUGGGUCACCUUUAAAGGUAAAGUAAUCCUGAGGUGGUUGAAUUUACGGAAAUGCUAUGCAUUAUUGUGAAUGGGAUGUUCACCGGGCCAACAUCUUCUUGGAACUUUGAGCAAACUGAUAGUCUGGUUGCACAUUUGAUUUGUCUGGCAGUAAAUGUUGGACAGUAUUUGGACUGAUGGAAGCUAGAGACAAACACAUUGACUAUUGUUGAAUAACACUGGAAACAUCUUAGGAGAGCAGUACAUUAGCUAAUUUAAUAGGUACAUAAACUGAAUCCCACUGUCUUGUGCUUGACGGACCAGCAGACACAUAUGCUUGUAUCGUUCUCAUGUUUCUACAUGUUUACCCUAUUCCCACAGGUCAACAAAGACAAGGCACCUAGCCCCACAUGAAACUUUAUUCCUUUCCCUUUUGAGAUGUGACAUGAAAGAAAAUAACAGAAAUGAUUUUUCCAUCCCAUCCUCAGGGACCAGUGGGAAUGAAUUUUACCAUCCCACCCUCAAGGGCCAGGUCAGGUCGCUAAGCAUUUUGUCACUAAAAUAUUGCCCUUUUUUAGGGAUUAUGUAAUACUCUAUAAGGCACUGUCUGUGCUGGGCAGCAUGGAGCCUGGGUCAUUGCUGUGUUGGGGGCUUGGUCUCCAUGACUUAAUAGGGUGUAUCAGUGUGUCCCAGAGAAGUGUACUCCAGAGUGCUCAUUUUCUUUCAUGUUUCUGAAGCAAACAGUGCCCCCUUUUUUAGAAGUUUGCAUGUGUCACUGAUAACUUUAAUAAUUGAUCUUGUUGAAAAACCUGGGAAAACAGUGAGUUAAAUAAUAACUUCUCUGAACAUGAGGUCCAGCCCAAUUACCUGCCCUAAGCAAACUAUAUGGAAGGAGAGUUCAGUUUGUUCAGCUAUGUGGUCCCAGCAAGGACUGUGGUACUGGAAAACUAACCAGCUUACAUGCACUAGAGAAGUAGAAUUGGACAGUGAUCUGUAGGUACCCAGUUUGGAGAUGAAAUUGCAACUCUGAGUUCUUGAUUGGCAACAUAAAUACGUUGAUAGUAAACAGACCCUGGGGAAUCAGCACUUGAGUUGUGAAAAGCGGGAAAUAGCUAUGCCUACACUAGAGCCAUUCACACUUUUGCUGGAGCUGCAAUAAUCUUCUAAGUCAUGCUUGCUCUCGUGAGGGCAAUGAGAUGGUCACAAUCCAAGGAGAGUUGGGGUUUUCACUUUUCAUUUCUCUAUUAAGUGAAAAAAGUAUAUGAAAAUUGAAAAAUAGAUAUUACUUAUGUAAUCUUCACAGUAUAAUUUGCUUGCCAAGCAGUCACUGGGAUUUAAUCAGUUUCUUUGUCUUUCGUUUUUCUCAUAAGCUGAGAGAGUAAUUUUGUGUGCACAGAAGUACUGUCUUCAGCUACAUGCUGCAUUAAACAUUCCUAGAUGUGAAAUGAUUAAAUUUCCAAGUUUUUAAAAUGUGGAUUUUUCUGGCCACUUUUAUAUCUCUUCAAUGGGUUUCUAAUGGAUUUAAGGAGAGAGCCUAGUCAUGAUGAAUGGUGUUGUGUUGGGUAUGCUGAGGAAACUUUGAGACCAAUGUUUCAGAAAAAAUUAUUUCUAUACUGUCAUGUUUCAAGUACCGAGUAUUGUUCUUGUCAUACAGAUGGUCCAGUGAACAUCUCUGGUGAAUUCCUUACAACCAACCUCUUGUUACUAAAUAUUCCAUUAGGAAUGUUUUGUUUCUCAACUCCCUGAUUUCCCCUUUAUAGAUUGGAAGUGAUAUUGGUGGAAGACAACAUUUUGCCGCUUGGAAUUCUCACCUCCACACCAAAGAAGUACUGUUUUUGUCAUUUGCACCAGCUUCUUUCUCCAGGAAAGAUCAAAACGAUGCACUGCAAGGUUAACAUCCAAUUUUUAAUACAUGUAAUUCCCUGGAUUAUUUUUGUUGUGUUAUUAAAUAACUUAGAAUUUUUUUUACAAAGUCUGUUGAACCAAACACUGUAAGGCAUUAAUAACCUGGUGAGUUAUUUGAGGCCUUUUUUCCUCUCCUAGAAUUUUUGCACAAUUUAUAUUUUGAAUAAUAUCAGAGACAUCCUAGUAGAGUAAUGAAUUAGUACAUUUUAUAUGCAGAUACAUAGUGAAGCCUCCUUUCUUAUGCAUAUUUGACAAAUGGACAUGUAUAUUUCUCAUCUUCCCAUAUUUUUACUCCAUUUCCACAGGUCAUGUAGACCAAAAUGUGAAUGUCAUAUGAAAGAGUUUAAACAUUGCCCUUGAAAUAUGACAGAAAGUAUCAGAAAUAAUUAUACCAUUCCAUGCUCACAGGCCAGUGGGAAUUCUCACAGUAAGCAUUUUGUCCAGAGAAUAUUCUUCUUAGGGAACUAUAACAUUCCAAUGAUAAUGGUAGUCAGCCAUGUGGCUGGAUCAUCGUUCCUGUAUCCUGGUCUCUAUGACUUAGUGUGGUGAUGGUGUCAUUGUGUCCAAGUGUGACAGAAUUGUUAGUGUGUAGUGUCUGUCUCCUAUCUCAGGCUCACAGUCCCUUUUAUAAACAUGCCUGGAUUGAUGAUGGCUUCAGUAUCUUUUGGAAAUCUGGACUGAGCAAUAGAAUUGCUUCUCUCAAAUUGAUUUCAAGUCAUAUAAAAGGCCAUGUUACACAUAUAUUGUUAAUCUGAGGGAGGCUGUGAUCAUUUAAGUUGUAUUUUAUAAACACUAGGACCACCAGUAAGAAAACAAUUCAAAAAAUAUUAAAAGAACAACCAAAGAAUUAAAAUAGAAUAACCGAAAAGAUCUGUUUAACACAAAAGAAGGCAGUUAAAGAUGAACAGAGGAACCAAUAAGACAUAUAGAAAACAGAUAGGAAAAUGACAGACAUAAACCCAGCCAUAUGACAAUUAUAUUAAAUUUUUAAGAGAUUAGGAAAUUCCGUUGUUUUUUAAACAUGAGCAACUAUACGCUGUCUACAGAAGAGACACUUUAGAACAAAAGAUACAAAUAGUUGGAAAGUAAAAAGAUGGAAAAAGCUAUAUCCAGCGAAUCCAGAAGAGAGCAGAAGUGGCUAUUCUGACAUCAGAAAAAAGAGACUUUAAGAUAAAGUAUUGCUAGAGAGGAAGAAGGAUAGUAUUUAAUGAUAGAAGGGUUAAUAUGGAAUAUGUAACAAUUACAAUCAUAUCAGCACUAACAACAGUGCCCAAAACUACAUACACUGAAAUUUAACAUGAUUGAGGGGAUCAAUAGGCAAUUCAACAAUAAAAGCUUUUGUUCAUACCCUCUUCUUAAUCAGUGAUAAGUCAAUUAGAUAGAGCAUCAUUGAGGUUACAACAUACUUCAGCAAUGUUGUCAACCAAUUUGACCUGAGAUAGAUAGAUAGACAGUUAGACAGACAGACAGACAGACAGAGAAAACUUCACCCAACAACAGAAAUACAAAUUAUUUUCAAGCAUACCUGGAACAUUCUCCAGGAUAGAGUAUAUGUUAGGCUAUAAAACUGUACUCAAUAAAUUUAAGAUUGAAACCAUGUAGAGUAUGUUGUGUGACCAUAGAGGAAUUAGAAAUCAACACAGAAAUAAAUUUGGAGGUCACAAGAUAUUUGGAAAUUAACACACUUUACAGAGCCCAUUGGUCAAAAAUAUAUAUAUUAAACUAGAAAGGCCGGGGGUGGUUGCUUACACCUGUAAUUCCAGCACUUUGGGAGGCGUAGGUGGGCACAUCACUUGAGGCCAGGAGUUCAAGACCAACCUGGGCAACAUGGCAAAACCCCAUCUCUACAAAAAAAUACAAAAAAUGAGUUGAGCAUGGUGGUGCAUGCCUGUAGUCCCAGCUACUCAGGAGGCUGAGGUAGGGGAAUCACCUGAGCCCAGCAGGUAGAAGCUGCAUUGAACCAAGAUUGCACCACUGCAUACCAGCCUGGGCGACAAAGUGAGACCCUGUCU
rnacentral:lncRNA from 1 species